CCGACAUGGAUACUCCCGGGAAGUCACUCUCCCUGGGCUCUGUCCAGGUGGCAUGGAGGAGCACAGGGCUCUGCCCCAUGAUGUACAAUCCUUUCCCACAAAGUCAGAGAUCAAGCCAGGCCUUGAGUCUGUACCUGCAUAUUCCCCCAGCUUCUCAGAGUCCUGUGGACAAUGACUGAGGACACAAACCAUGCAGGGGAACAGCC
rnacentral:snoRNA from 1 species